rnacentral:rRNA from 1 species
UAGGGAAUCUUCCGCAAUGGGCGAAAGCCUGACGGAGCAACGCCGCGUGAGUGAUGAAGGUCUUCGGAUCGUAAAACUCUGUUAUUAGGGAAGAACAAAUGUGUAAGUAACUAUGCACGUCUUGACGGUACCUAAUCAGAAAGCCACGGCUAACUACGUGCCAGCAGCCGCGGUAAUACGUAGGUGGCAAGCGUUAUCCGGAAUUAUUGGGCGUAAAGCGCGCGUAGGCGGUUUUUUAAGUCUGAUGUGAAAGCCCACGGCUCAACCGUGGAGGGUCAUUGGAAACUGGAAAACUGGAGUGCAGAAGAGGAAAGUGGAAUUCCAGGUGUAGCGGUGAAAUGCGCAGAGAUAUGGAGGAACACCAGUGGCGAAGGCGACUUUCUGGUCUGUAACUGACGCUGAUGUGCGAAAGCGUGGGGAUCAAACAGG